UCCCCUAGUAACUGCGAGUGAAGCGGGAAAAGCUCAAAUUUAAAAUCUGGCGGCAGAUGGUCGUCCGAAUUGUAACCUCGAGAAGUGAAGCCCGCACUGGACCAUGUACAAGUCUCCUGGGAUGGAGCGUCAGAGAGGGUGAGAAUCCCGUGCGUGGCAUGGAGCACCAGUGCAGUGUGGUUCGCUCUCAAAGAGUUGAGUUGUUUGGGAAUGCAGCUCGAAAUGGGUGGUAAAUUCCAUCUAAAGCUAAAUAUUGGCGAGAGACCGAUAGCGAACAAGUACCGUGAGGGAAAGAUGAAAAGAACUUUGGAAAGAGAGUUAAAUAGUACGUGAAAUUGUUGAAAGGGAAACGCUUGAAGUCAGUCGCGUUGGUCGGGGAUCAGUCCUGCAGUUAUGCUGGAUGGAAUUCCUGGUCGAUGGGUCAUCAUGAGUUUUGAGCACUGGAGAAAGGCUUGGGGAAUGUGACACCUGUGGGUGUGUUAUAGCUCCAAGUCGUAUACAGUGGUUGAGACUGAGGAAAGCAACGCGCCUUUUGGCAGGGAUUUUAUCCACUUUCGCGUUGAGGAUGAUGGCAAAAUGGCUCCAAGCGACCCGUCUUGAAACACGGACCAAGGAGUCCAACAUGCAUGCGAGUGUUUGGGUGGAAAACUCAUACGCGCAAUGAAAGUAAAAGUUGAGAACCCUUCGGGGGGCAUCGAUGCCCGGACCAGAACUUUUGGGACGGAUCCGCGGUGGAGCAUGCAUGGUGGGACCCGAAAGAUGGUGAACUAUGCCUGAAGAGGGUGAAGCCAGAGGAAACUCUGGUGGAGGCUCGCAGCGAUUCUGACGUGCAAAUCGAUCGUCGAAUUUGGGCAUAGGGGCGAAAGACUAAUCGAACCAUCUAGUAGCUGGUUCCUGCCGAAGUUUCCCUCAGGAUAGCAGAAGCUCAUGUCAGAUUUAUGUGGUAAAGCGAAUGAUUAGAGGCCUUGGGGUUGUAACAACCUUAACCUAUUCUCAAACUUUAAAUAUGUAAGAGCGAGUGGUCACUUAAA
rnacentral:rRNA from 1 species